AGUGGCGCAAGGGUGUGUAACACGUGGGUAAUCUGCCGUGAAGUUUGGGAUAACUUGCUGAAAGGCGAGCUAAUACCGGAUGUGAACGCAAGUUCAAAGUUGGGGACCGCAAGGCCUGACGCUUCACGAUGAGCCCGCGGCCUAUCAGCUAGUUGGUGAGGUAACGGCUCACCAAGGCUAAGACGGGUAGCUGGUCUGAGGGGACGACCAGCCACACUGGAACUGAGACACGGUCCAGACACCUACGGGUGGCAGCAGUCGAGAAUUUUUCUCAAUGGGCGAAAGCCUGAAGGAGCGACGCCGCGUGGGGGAUGAAUGGCUUCGGCCCGUAAACCCCUGUCAUUUGUGAACAAAUUGUUUCACCUAACACGUGAAGCAUUGAUUGUAACGGAAGAGGAAGGGACGGCUAACUCUGUGCCAGCAGCCGCGGUAAUACAGAGGUCCCAAGCGUUGUUCGGAUUCACUGGGCGUAAAGGGUGCGUAGGCGGCCAGGUAAGUUUGAUGUGAAAUCCCGCAGCUCAACUGCGGAACUGCAUUGAAUACUAUCUGGCUCGAGGAAUGGAGGGGAGACUGGAAUUCUCGGUGUAGCAGUGAAAUGCGUAGAUAUCGAGAGGAACACCAGUGGCGAAAGCGAGUCUCUGGACAUUUCCUGACGCUCAGGCACGAAAGCCAGGGGAGCAAACGGGAUUAGAUACCCCGGUAGUCCUGGCCUUAAACGGUGCGCAUUUGCUGUGAGCGGAAUCGACCCCGCUCGUGGCGAAGCUAACGCGUUAAAUGCGCCGCCUGGGAAGUACGGCCGCAAGGUUAAAACUCAAAGAAAUUGACGGGGGCCUGCACAAGCGGUGGAGUAUGUGGCUUAAUUCGA
rnacentral:rRNA from 1 species